GAAUUUUAUAUAGAUUUAAUAAAAAAUUUAGUUUAAAAUUUAUUAAAUUUAUAUUUCAUUGGGAGGAUGAUUAAAUUAAAAAAACUUUAAAAUGUAUAGACCAUUAAUUUAUGAAAUAAUGAUUAAGAGUGAUUAAGGUAGAUUUAGUUAGAAUUAAUUACCUUAGGGAUAACAGCGUUAUAUUUUUAGAGAGAUCUUAUUGAUAAAGAUGUUUGC
rnacentral:rRNA from 1 species